GCGCGGGUGGGAGCGCCAGGGGCUGGCGGGGCCCGCGCCCUGGGACGAGCCCCUCGUGCUCCGGCUCUGCGCUCCCGCAGCGCCCACGCAGCCGAGAGGAGUGGGUGAUGACUUCGUGACCUCAACGUCCUCCCCCGUCCCUCGACAUGUUCCCGCGCCUGAAAGGUGCAGAAAACUCCCCCCACCGCUCUGGACGAGACUGAGCUAGGCGUCGAGGGCGGGCGCCGCCGCAGACCGGAGCUCGGGCUCGCUGGCCGCUCAGGCGCAGCGGUGUGGAGGGAACGGACGCGCGGCAAGGCGACCCGCUCUGGGCAACGCGGGCGCAGCUGCCCCGACGCAAGGCACUAGCUGGUCGGGGGCUCGGGCGAGCCGGGGCCGGCGUGCCGGGGCGUGCGCUCUCUCGGCAGGCGAGCGCCGGGCUCCGCGGAGGUCCCUGCGCCCACUGCCUGCUUCUCCGCCCGGCGACCCGGAGUCCCCAGGCUGCGGUGCGCCAGGCCAGACCUGACCGAGGGCGGAAGACCCGAGCGGCAGGGAGGCAGAAAGAAAAGAGUGAGAGGCAGAAGGAAGAAAGAGGAGAAAGAGAAGACAAAUGUUUUUCCCUUCUUGAAGAGGUGGUCUUGACUACUGCUCAACCACAGCCUACUGAAAGAGCCCUGGAAAAUCUGAGUUCUAGAUCUGCCUGUACCACUGUGGGACCCAAGGCAAGUCAACUUCUCCUCAGGCCCCAGUUUCCUACAUCUCAAAUACAGGAGGUUACAAAAAUAAGUGAUUCUCAGGAGGGCCAGGGAAGUUACCUAAAUGUAUGAAUUCAGCAGAGUGUAAGACCACAGGGAGUGGUGGGGGCCUGUGACAGAUGGGGUAUACUCACUGAAUGCCUCCCUAAAGGGAGAACCAGAGCAAUAAUAAAAACACUUAAAAUAAUGGCCAUAUUCCGGGCAUGGUGGCUUACACCUGUAAUCCCAGCACUUUGGGAGGCCGAGACAGGUGGAUCACGAGGUCAGGAGAUUGAGACCACCCUGGCUAACAUGGUGAAACCCCGUCUCUACUAAAAAUACAAAAAAAU
rnacentral:lncRNA from 1 species